AGAGUUUGAUCAUGGCUCAGAUUGAACGCUGGCGGCAGGCCUAACACAUGCAAGUCGAGCGGUAGCACAGAGAGCUUGCUCUCGGGUGACGAGCGGCGGACGGGUGAGUAAUGUCUGGGAAACUGCCUGAUGGAGGGGGAUAACUACUGGAAACGGUAGCUAAUACCGCAUAACGUCGCAAGACCAAAGUGGGGGACCUUCGGGCCUCAUGCCAUCAGAUGUGCCCAGAUGGGAUUAGCUAGUAGGUGGGGUAACGGCUCACCUAGGCGACGAUCCCUAGCUGGUCUGAGAGGAUGACCAGCCACACUGGAACUGAGACACGGUCCAGACUCCUACGGGAGGCAGCAGUGGGGAAUAUUGCACAAUGGGCGCAAGCCUGAUGCAGCCAUGCCGCGUGUGUGAAGAAGGCCUUCGGGUUGUAAAGCACUUUCAGCGGGGAGGAAGGCGAUAAGGUUAAUAACCUUGUCGAUUGACGUUACCCGCAGAAGAAGCACCGGCUAACUCCGUGCCAGCAGCCGCGGUAAUACGGAGGGUGCAAGCGUUAAUCGGAAUUACUGGGCGUAAAGCGCACGCAGGCGGUCUGUCAAGUCGGAUGUGAAAUCCCCGGGCUCAACCUGGGAACUGCAUUCGAAACUGGCAGGCUAGAGUCUUGUAGAGGGGGGUAGAAUUCCAGGUGUAGCGGUGAAAUGCGUAGAGAUCUGGAGGAAUACCGGUGGCGAAGGCGGCCCCCUGGACAAAGACUGACGCUCAGGUGCGAAAGCGUGGGGAGCAAACAGGAUUAGAUACCCUGGUAGUCCACGCCGUAAACGAUGUCGAUUUGGAGGUUGUGCCCUUGAGGCGUGGCUUCCGGAGCUAACGCGUUAAAUCGACCGCCUGGGGAGUACGGCCGCAAGGUUAAAACUCAAAUGAAUUGACGGGGGCCCGCACAAGCGGUGGAGCAUGUGGUUUAAUUCGAUGCAACGCGAAGAACCUUACCUGGUCUUGACAUCCACAGAACUUUCCAGAGAUGGAUUGGUGCCUUCGGGAACUGUGAGACAGGUGCUGCAUGGCUGUCGUCAGCUCGUGUUGUGAAAUGUUGGGUUAAGUCCCGCAACGAGCGCAACCCUUAUCCUUUGUUGCCAGCGGUUAGGCCGGGAACUCAAAGGAGACUGCCAGUGAUAAACUGGAGGAAGGUGGGGAUGACGUCAAGUCAUCAUGGCCCUUACGACCAGGGCUACACACGUGCUACAAUGGCAUAUACAAAGAGAAGCGACCUCGCGAGAGCAAGCGGACCUCAUAAAGUAUGUCGUAGUCCGGAUUGGAGUCUGCAACUCGACUCCAUGAAGUCGGAAUCGCUAGUAAUCGUAGAUCAGAAUGCUACGGUGAAUACGUUCCCGGGCCUUGUACACACCGCCCGUCACACCAUGGGAGUGGGUUGCAAAAGAAGUAGGUAGCUUAACCUUCGGGAGGGCGCUUACCACUUUGUGAUUCAUGACUGGGGUGAAGUCGUAACAAGGUAACCGUAGGGGAACCUGCGGUUG
rnacentral:rRNA from 5 species